GACGAACGCUGGCGGCGUGCCUAAUACAUGCAAGUCGAGCGAGCUUGCCUAGAUGAAUUUGGUGCUUGCACCAAAUGAAACUAGAUACAAGCGAGCGGCGGACGGGUGAGUAACACGUGGGUAAUCUGCCCAAGAGACUGGGAUAACACCUGGAAACAGAUGCUAAUACCGGAUAACAACACUAGACGCAUGUCUAGAGUUUAAAAGAUGGUUCUGCUAUCACUCUUGGAUGGACCUGCGGUGCAUUAGCUAGUUGGUAAGGUAACGGCUUACCAAGGCAAUGAUGCAUAGCCGAGUUGAGGGACUGAUCGGCCACAUUGGGACUGAGACACGGCCCAAACUCCUACGGGAGGCAGCAGUAGGGAAUCUUCCACAAUGGACGCAAGUCUGAUGGAGCAACGCCGCGUGAGUGAAGAAGGGUUUCGGCUCGUAAAGCUCUGUUGGUAGUGAAGAAAGAUAGAGGUAGUAACUGGCCUUUAUUUGACGGUAAUUACUUAGAAAGUCACGGCUAACUACGUGCCAGCAGCCGCGGUAAUACGUAGGUGGCAAGCGUUGUCCGGAUUUAUUGGGCGUAAAGCGAGUGCAGGCGGUUCAAUAAGUCUGAUGUGAAAGCCUUCGGCUCAACCGGAGAAUUGCAUCAGAAACUGUUGAACUUGAGUGCAGAAGAGGAGAGUGGAACUCCAUGUGUAGCGGUGGAAUGCGUAGAUAUAUGGAAGAACACCAGUGGCGAAGGCGGCUCUCUGGUCUGCAACUGACGCUGAGGCUCGAAAGCAUGGGUAGCGAACAGG
rnacentral:rRNA from 1 species